rnacentral:rRNA from 1 species
CGUAGGGAGCAAGCGUUGUCCGGAAUCAUUGGGCGUAAAGCGCGCGUAGGCGGCCCGGUAAGUCCGUUGUGAAAGUCAAAGGCUCAACCUUUGAAUGCCGAUGGAUACUGCCGGGCUCGAGUCCGGAAGAGGCGAGUGGAAUUCCUGGUGUAGCGGUGGAAUGCGCAGAUAUCAGGAGGAACACCGAUAGCGAAGGCAGCUCGCUGGGACGGUACUGACGCUAAGGCGCGAAAGCGUGGGGAGCGAACAGGAUUAGAUACCCUGGUAGUCCACGCCGUAAACGAUGGGCACUAGGUGUGGGAGGUGUCGACUCCUCCCGUGCCGCCGCUAACGCAUUAAGUGCCCCGCCUGGGGAGUACGGCCGCAAGGCUA